UGAUGAGGCUGGGAGCAACCAUUGAGGGGAAUACUUGUUUUGGGAAGGCUAUCCACGGCGCUGCCUUUUUAGGAAGUCUUGGGGCUAUUAAAGCUAUUCACCAGGAUUUCCCCAAUGAGGUAAACAUUGCUAGUGCUGGAAAUUUCACGCCACUUAUUUGUUCCCUGUUCGGCACUUCAGUUGACUGUCAGAACUUUCUUGCAGGGGUAUCUGAUGUGGGUACUCUUCCCUUGUUCACCAAAGUGGCAUUGGUUAAAACCAAUGAGGCUGAAGCUCAUG